rnacentral:rRNA from 1 species
AGCUAUUAGAACUUAAUUAAUAGUAAUGCCUGCCCAAUGCAAAGUUAAUGGCUGCAGUAAUCUGACUGUACUAAGGUAGCAUAAUCAAUAGUCUUUUAAUUGAUGACUGGAAUGAAGGGCUAAAACUAAAAAGAAAGUUUUAUAAUCUCUUAUUGAAUUUAAAUUAAAUAUAAAAAUGUUUUUAUAAAUUUCUAGGACGAGAAGACCCUAGAAGCUAGAAAUAAGAUUAUUUUAGUUGGGGUGACUAAGGAAGAUAAAAAUCUUUUAUUUUUAAGUAUAUAAUUAUGAAAGUUACUCUAGGGAUAACAGCGUUAUUUAAUUUUAGAGUUCAAAUUGGAAAUUAAGAUUGCGACCUCGAUGUUGAAUUAAAUUGUACUAAAGGUGAAGAAGCUUUUACAAAUAGUCUGUUCGACUAUUAAAUAUUUACA